rnacentral:rRNA from 1 species
AGUGAACGCUGGCGGUAGGCCUAACACAUGCAAGUCGAACGGCAGCACAGUAAGAGCUUGCUCUUACGGGUGGCGAGUGGCGGACGGGUGAGGAAUACAUCGGAAUCUACUUUUUCGUGGGGGAUAACGUAUGGAAACUUACGCUAAUACCGCAUACGACCUACGGGUGAAAGCAGGGGAUCUUCGGACCUUGCGCGAUUGAAUGAGCCGAUGUCGGAUUAGCUAGUUGGCGGGGUAAAGGCCCACCAAGGCGACGAUCCGUAGCUGGUCUGAGAGGAUGAUCAGCCACACUGGAACUGAGACACGGUCCAGACUCCUACGGGAGGCAGCAGUGGGGAAUAUUGGACAAUGGGCGCAAGCCUGAUCCAGCCAUACCGCGUGGGUGAAGAAGGCCUUCGGGUUGUAAAGCCCUUUUGUUGGGAAAGAAAAGCAGCAGGUUAAUACCCCGCUGUUCUGACGGUACCCAAAGAAUAGGCACCGGCUAACUUCGUG